rnacentral:rRNA from 1 species
GACGAACGCUGGCGGCGUGCUUAACACAUGCAAGUCGAACGGAAAGGCCCUGCUUUUGUGGUGUGCUCGAGUGGCGAACGGGUGAGUAACACGUGAGUAACCUGCCCUUGACUUUGGGAUAACUUCAGGAAACUGGGGCUACUACCGUAUAGGAGCUCCUGCUCCAUGGUGGGGGUUGGAAAGUUUCGGCGGUUGGGGAUGGACUCGCGGCUUAUCAGCUUGUUGGUGGGGUAGUGGCUUACCAAGGCUUUGACGGGUAGCCGGCCUGAGAGGGUGACCGGCGACAUGGGGACUAAGGUACGGCGCAGAGUCCAACGGGAGGCAGCAGUGGGGAAUAUUGCACAAUGGGCGGAAGCCUGAUGCAGCAACGCCGCGGGCGGGAAGACGUCCUUCGGGUUGUAAACCGCUUUCGCCUGUGACGAAGCGGGAGUGACGGUAAUGGGUAAAGAAGCACCGGCUAACUACGUG